AAAUUGAAGAGUUUGAUCAUGGCUCAGAUUGAACGCUGGCGGCAGGCCUAACACAUGCAAGUCGAACGGUAACAGGAAACAGCUUGCUGUUUCGCUGACGAGUGGCGGACGGGUGAGUAAUGUCUGGGAAACUGCCUGAUGGAGGGGGAUAACUACUGGAAACGGUAGCUAAUACCGCAUAAUGUCGCAAGACUAAAGAGGGGGACCUUCGGGCCUCUUGCCAUCGGAUGUGCCCAGAUGGGAUUAGCUA
rnacentral:rRNA from 1 species